AUAGCGAAGAGGUCACACCCGUUCCCAUUCCGAACACGGCAGUUAAGCUCUUCAGCGCCGAUGGUAGUUGGGGGUUUCCCCCUGUGAGAGUAGGACGCCGCCAAGC
rnacentral:rRNA from 1 species